GUGGGGAAUAUUGGACAAUGGGCGCAAGCCUGAUCCAGCCAUGCCGCGUGAGUGAUGAAGGCCUUAGGGUUGUAAAGCUCUUUCAGUAGGGAAGAUAAUGACGGUACCUACAGAAGAAGCCCCGGCUAACUUCGUGCCAGCAGCCGCGGUAAUACGAAGGGGGCUAGCGUUGUUCGGAUUUACUGGGCGUAAAGCGCACGUAGGCGGAAUGUUAAGUCAGAGGUGAAAUCCUGGAGCUCAACUCCAGAACUGCCUUUGAUACUGGCAAUCUCGAGUCCGGAAGAGGUGAGUGGAACUCCUAGUGUAGAGGUGGAAUUUGUAGAUAUUAGGAAGAACACCAGUGGCGAAGGCGGCUCACUGGUCCGGUACUGACGCUGAGGUGCGAAAGCGUGGGGAGCAAACAGGAUUAGAUACCCGGGUAGUCC
rnacentral:rRNA from 1 species